AGCUUUGUGCAGUGGCAGUAUUGAAGUCAAUGAAGUUUAACUGAGGCAUGAGAAUUGCUCAUUGAAAACUGUAGUAGAUACUGUAAAGAUUAAAUUUAACUCUCCCCUGCUUGUGA
ensembl:snRNA U4 U4 spliceosomal RNA